rnacentral:rRNA from 2 species
AGAGUUUGAUCCUGGCUCAGGACGAACGCUGGCGGCGUGCCUAAUACAUGCAAGUAGAACGCUGAAGAGAGGAGCUUGCUCUUCUUGGAUGAGUUGCGAACGGGUGAGUAACGCGUAGGUAACCUGCCUUGUAGCGGGGGAUAACUAUUGGAAACGAUAGCUAAUACCGCAUAACAAUGGAUGACACAUGUCAUUUAUUUGAAAGGGGCAAUUGCUCCACUACAAGAUGGACCUGCGUUGUAUUAGCUAGUAGGUGAGGUAACGGCUCACCUAGGCGACGAUACAUAGCCGACCUGAGAGGGUGAUCGGCCACACUGGGACUGAGACACGGCCCAGACUCCUACGGGAGGCAGCAGUAGGGAAUCUUCGGCAAUGGGGGCAACCCUGACCGAGCAACGCCGCGUGAGUGAAGAAGGUUUUCGGAUCGUAAAGCUCUGUUGUAAGUCAAGAACGAGUGUGAGAGUGGAAAGUUCACACUGUGACGGUAGCUUACCAGAAAGGGACGGCUAACUACGUGCCAGCAGCCGCGGUAAUACGUAGGUCCCGAGCGUUGUCCGGAUUUAUUGGGCGUAAAGCGAGCGCAGGCGGUUUGAUAAGUCUGAAGUUAAAGGCUGUGGCUCAACCAUAGUUCGCUUUGGAAACUGUCAAACUUGAGUGCAGAAGGGGAGAGUGGAAUUCCAUGUGUAGCGGUGAAAUGCGUAGAUAUAUGGAGGAACACCGGUGGCGAAAGCGGCUCUCUGGUCUGUAACUGACGCUGAGGCUCGAAAGCGUGGGGAGCGAACAGGAUUAGAUACCCUGGUAGUCCACGCCGUAAACGAUGAGUGCUAGGUGUUGGAUCCUUUCCGGGAUUCAGUGCCGCAGCUAACGCAUUAAGCACUCCGCCUGGGGAGUACGACCGCAAGGUUGAAACUCAAAGGAAUUGACGGGGGCCCGCACAAGCGGUGGAGCAUGUGGUUUAA